rnacentral:lncRNA from 10 species
CCACGCCCAGCCUCCAUGCAUAUUUUCAAUCUGAUACCCAACCAACGUAAUUUUUAGUGUCGAGGAUUCAAGGUCAAAUUGUGUUAGGUUUUAAGAACCAGGUGAGACUUUUUGAUCCCUAAUAGAGCACUUCCUUUGAGAAAAAAUGAGAUAAAUUCGAACAAUAUCAAUUAACUGGUUGGAAUUAUGAUAAGCUGACAAAUCUUGUUCAGAGUUGACACUUGCCAGCUAAUGAUUCUAAUGUUGUUAGAAUCCACACAGUAUUACCUGUUAUUGAUAAUACUAAUUUUUUGUUUGAGUCCAUCUUAAGGAACUCAAGACACGAGGCAAUUUAAGUGCCCUGGAACCCCACCCAAGGGUUCAUUGCUCAUAUCCUAUUAUCUCACCAACAUCAUCUGCAAUUUUUUUUCAUUUAAAUCUUUGACUUCUCUUCGGUGUUGGUAGGCAUAGUUUUGCUGAGCUCAAGAGAAGAAUGCCUGUGAUCAUAUCCACUUUGAGUGAUUAUACAUGCUUGAAAUCUAGGGAUCCAUUUCCAAAAAAUGUAGGGCUUUUAUUGGUUUGUGCAAAUCAACACACUGAUACAUGUCCAAAAGGAGUCUCCAAAACAUAAUCGAUUUUCAUCCCUGUUUGCCAUUUCCAGAUAUGAAAUUAGGUGCUUAAAGAGAAGCAUUAAUUCCCUGUAGCUACUCAGUUACCAGUCUGUGCUUCAGUUGCUGGAGUUUUCUAAGCACAAAAUCUGCUACCAGGGAGUAACACCAUUAAUUGGGGGGGCAUCUCAUUCAAUAAUAAUAUUUGUAAAACAGAGCAGUCAUGGAAAUAUGCAACUUUCAAUUAGUGGUUUUAAUUUGUGAUUUAUCUGAAUAUACUAGUAUAAAUAAAAUGUAUUAUGUGUGCCUAUAUAUGUGGAUAAGCUAUUUACAUUUUUAUGUGUAGAAAAUGAAAAAUAUAUAUUGAUUAGCCCUUUUGAGGCUUUUGAACAACUGUUUCAUCUUCCUUCUUUCCUGCAACUGCUUUGAGGAUUUAGAUAAUUCAUACAAGGUAUGUACACAAUCACACCCAUAGUAUGUACAUCCUAGUCACACACUUAACACGGAGAGGAUGUGUGAGGAAUGUAAAUUAUCCCAGUGGUCAAAGAACUGACCUUACCUGUGACUAAUGGCAUGGUUACUUAGCCCUGGCAUAUUUAAUAAUAUGCCAAUGUACUGAUUACUAUAUUCAGCCUUUGUGAUAAUUAUGUUACCUACUCAAGGAGAUGAUAAAAAAAAAACACAAAUCAAACAGCCCUUUCUGACCUUCAAAAAUAAAAGGACAAAUUCUGUUACUGAAUACAUGUGCACACUUUUGUUGGCUUUAUUCAUGUAUGUACAUAUGCCUGCCUGAAUACAGAAAUUGGCCUUUAAAUGGGAUACGACAAGUUAUUUUUUUUACACAUAAAAAUAGAAAACUGAUCACUCAGACUGUACACACUCACAGAAUGUAUUGACAUACCACGACCAGCUACAGUAUUAUGCACGACAUAUUGUUCACACAUUAGUACAGCAGAGAUACACACAUUUAGAAAAUUAGUAAUUGCUAGUAUAUAUUUUUCUUAUUUUCAGGCUGUGUUGACCUUUUUCAACCUUAAUAAAAGGUAUCUCCAGGGGCCCUUAAAACAAGAAUUAGUCUUUCCUCUCCUCUAGGGAUUGGGGAGUAUGACUAUAAUACUGCAAUCUCCUGAUAUACCAGCAUCAUUUUAAGACACGAUGGAAAACAUUAGGAAAAAUAAGUUACGUAAAGAUGUGAUCUAAAAUAAAUGUUAAGGAAUCUCAACUAAAAUCAUCAAGGAUGCCAAUUAACAUGAGUAAGCCCUUUCUACUCAUUUUAUAUAGUUUGCUCUACACACAGCCUUUACAUGUUAUUAAAAGCAAUGAUAUGAAUCAGAAAAAAAACUGUUUAACUGCUCAAGAGUUUUUCUAAAGAGAGACAAUUUUUAAAGCAACAAAGAACAAUACUAGCAGCAAUGUCAAAAAGCAAGCUAUAAUUUUCACCCCAGAAAUAAAUGAAUGACAUCUCCAUAGUUAAGAGAUCAAGAAAGCUGUUAGCAAUUCUCUCCCAUUUAAUUCUUUCUAACAUCAUUAAAUCACUGGGGUAUCUCAUCAUAAUUAUCACCAUGCAGGUUGAUCAUCAAUAUCCUUUUCUAAAGUGUAAAAUAUGUGAUUUUUAUUCCUACUAUUUUGCAGCCAAUUAAUUUUGAGCUUGAAUCCAGAAAGAUACUUGAUGAAGAGUUAGCAUUUAGAAGUGCCCAUCUGGAGCAUCGUUUUCUGUAAGGCAUCAUUUGAAGCCUCUUUGGAUACAAGAUCUCAUGUUUUAGUGAUUUUACAUCCGGGAGCCCAUUUUUUCACAGCUAAAGCUGGUAAUCCUCUGGGCAGAGUUAACUGAAUUGCUUUCUACAUGCUAGUGUCCAGAAAGAGUAAUUACCAUAAGUUUAAAGUCUCCAUUUCAACAAAACUUCUGGUUGCAGCUGUCUUGAGUUUUAAGCCAGCAAGACUUUGAGUGGCUCCUCUUCCCUCUGGGCUCACAUAAAAACAUAGAUGCCAACUGUAUCCUGACUAAUGCUCAUUAGUGCUGUACCUCUUUAUGAAGCUUCUAAACAAGUUUUUCCAGGAAGAAAGCAGAAACUAUGCCUUUGCUUAUUUUAUCCUGUGGGUUACAGUCAGUCUUCAUAAAGCAAACCAUCAUUAUAUAAUGGUGUGCCCAUAAUAGAUGCAUUUGCUGGUAUAACUGCCUCUUUUUGGCACAUUAUUGCUUGGCUUUAAUUUCAUAUUCAACAGUCUUUAUUCUCAUUAUUAGUAUCUGAGAUAUUUGUGUCUUAAAAAAACUUGCAAUGGAUUUAUUUUGAGAGAGGUUAUUUUGUUGUGGCAAGUGAGUAGUUUAGCUGGUGACUGUUCACAGUUAAAAGUAGCUGUAAUGACCUCUGGCAGAUGUCACUGAUCACUUGGGAGACAGAAUUUUUCCACUUCAAUCCAUCUUCAUUUAUGUCCUUGGUCAUUGCAAACCCAGCUUAUUUGAUUUCUGCAGCCAAGGAGAAUUGUUUUCUUUCCAAGAGUAGGAUAAAGUUCAUGGAAAUCUGUUUCAGUAUUUACAAGACUAUUUUUUUUCCCAUUUGCAAAAAUGUCUAAAAUUUUGUAGACAUCCUUAAGCCCAUGUGUCUGGACAGAUGACAUUUGUAAUUGCUCAGCCAGUUGAAGAAUUUCAUUAAGAAGGAUAUCGUUACAAGGAUGGACAGGAGAUUCAGCAUAUCCUCUGUUAUUUGCCAGGUGGCAGCAGCUGACCCGAAUUUGGAGAGAAUCAACCAAAAAGGGCCACGCACAACAUCAGGAAGCAUUGCUAACAGAAAACAAAAUGCUCAGAUACAUAUGUAAAAUAACAAACACUAAAGGGGAUGUUUGACUUCUGAUUUCACCAUGUACACAAAAACAGAGUGGGAAUAAGGUAGUCGGCUCACUUAUGCAAGAUACUGCUGAGUUCACUGUUCUACCACAAAGGGAAAUUCACAGGCCUCACUUCUCAAACACCACUUAGAACAAAGCAGGAGAGAGUAAACAGCAUCAUCUCCAUGGCAGCAUUACAGAUAAUUAGUAAAUCAGGCAGGUAGAGGUCUACACAAGGCUAC